rnacentral:rRNA from 1 species
AUGGAAGAUGGAAGUAAAUCAUCAGCAGAUACUCCUGAAUCGUUACAUCUAGAAUCUGUGGCACUAUGGAACAGCAUUCUUUCAGGAUUUCAGUUUACCACGAACACAGGGCCUUUAUGUGACGAACCAAUGUGGGAUCUGGCAUUUAUCAUUGAGCCUUACAUAUUUGCUGGCAACUCUGAUGCUGCCCAUCAAUCUGAUCAAUACAACAUCUUCAGUGGCCAAGUAAUAACCGCAGUUAAAGAAGCAUGCCGAGCAGCCGUUCUUCAGAACAACCCAAGGCUUGUCGAAGGCAUGUAUUUCUGUGAAUUGACCACCCCGACUCAGCAACUAGGUUCAACAUAUGCAGUUCUUGGCAGGAGACGAGCGAAGAUUUUAAAAGAAGAAAUGCAAGAAGGGACUUCAGUAUUUAGAGUGCAUGCUUACUUGCAUGUUGCCGAGAGCAUUGGAUUUUCUAGUCAGCUCAGGACAUUAACAUCAGGUGCAGCCAGCGCGCUGCUUGUUUUUAGCCAUUGGGAUGCUAUUCAGGAGGACCCUUUUUUUAUCCCAAAGUCACAGGAGGAGAUUGAAGAAUUUGGAGAUGGGGCAAGCAUUGGGCCAAACUUGGCCAAGAAACUUAUGAAUUCUGUGAGGCGGAGGAAAGGAUUGCACGUUGAAGAGAAAGUUGUGGAGCAUGGCACGAAACAGCGAACUCUCUCUAGGAAAACAUAG